rnacentral:rRNA from 1 species
UCUGGUUGAUCCUGCCUGAACUGAUGUGUUUAUUUCAAAGAUUAAGCCAUGCAUGUAUAAGUUUAAUCGUUUAUCGAGAAACCGCGAACGGCUCAUUACAAUGGCCAUUAUUUACUUGAUCUUGAUUGUCUAAAUGGAUAACUGUGGAAAAGCUAGAGCUAAUACAUGCACUAAAGCUUUGUCCUUACGGAAAAGCGCAUUUAUUAGAACAAAACCACGCGGCUUCGGCUGCUUCUUGUUGACUCAGAAUAACUUAGCUGACCGCAUGGCCUUGUGCCGGCGGCGUGUCUUUCAAGCGUCCACUUUAUCAACUUGACGGGAGCAUAAUCGACUCCCGUGGUGGUGACGGAUAACGGAGGAUCAGGGUUCGACUCCGGAGAAGGGGCCUGAGAAAUGGCCACUACGUCUAAGGAUGGCAGCAGGCGCGCAAAUUACCCACUCUCGGCUCGAGGAGGUAGUGACGAGAAAUAACGAGACUGUUCUCUUUGAGGCCGGUCAUCGGAAUGGGUACAAUUUAAACCCUUUAACGAGUAUCAAGCAGAGGGCAAGUCUGGUGCCAGCAGCCGCGGUAAUUCCAGCUCUGCAAAUACAUAGAAUUAUUGCUGCGGUUAGAAAGCUCAUAGUUGGAUUCGUAUCGAUACCUUGGAACCCUUCGGGUGUCUCUAGGUGUUAUCGAUUUAUCGUAAUGUUCGGUUUUGAGUCCUUAACAGGAUUCUUAACAGGCAUUGCAAGCAUCCGAUUAAAAAUUGCCUCAGGCAAAGUAGACCAAAGUGCAAUUGACCAAGUGUCGUAGGGUUCAGGCAAUAGGGUUCCCCCAGACAAUCAAAUUUCACCAGGCAUUUUUGGUUUAGAGUCUGUGACG